rnacentral:rRNA from 1 species
AUUGAACGAUGGCGGCAGGCCUAACACAUGCAAGUCGAGCGAGCGGCGGACGGGUGAGUAAUGUAUGGGGACUGCCCGAUAGAGGGGGAUAACUACUGGAAACGGUGGCUAAUACCGCAUACUAUCGGAUAACCCAUAUGGGAUUGGCUAGUAGGUGGGGUAAAGGCUCACCUAGGCGACGAUCUCUAGCUGGUCUGAGAGGAUGAUCAGCCACACUGGGACGGUGAUACGGCCCAGACUCUUACGGAGGCAGCAGUGGGGAAUAUUGCACCAUGGGCGCAAGCCUGAUGUAGCCAUGCAGCGUGUAUGAAGAAGGCCUUAGGGUUUUAAAGUACUUUCAGCGUGGAGGCGUUACCCGCAGAAGAAGCCCCGGCUAACUCCGUGCCAGCCGCCGCGGUAAUUC